GAUGAAGAACGCAGCGAAAUGCGAUAAGUAAUGUGAAUUGCAGAAUUCAGUGAAUCAUCGAAUCUUUGAACGCACAUUGCGCCCGCCAGUAUUCUGGCGGGCAUGCCUGUCCGAGCGUCAUUUCAACCAUCAAGCCCCGGGCUUGUGUUGGGGACCUGCGUCCGACGCAGGCCCUGAAAACCAGUGGCGGGCUCGCUGUCCACACCGAGCGUAGUAACUAACCUCGCUAUGGAGUGGCGCGGGCGCCUGCCGUAAAACCCCCAAUUUCACAAGGUUGACCUCGGAUCAGGUAGGAAUACCCGCUGAACUUAAGCAUAUCAAAAGCGGAGGA
rnacentral:misc_RNA from 1 species